GACGAACGCUGGCGGCGUGCCUAAUACAUGCAAGUAGAACGCACAGUUUAUACCGUAGCUUGCUACACCAUAGACUGUGAGUUGCGAACGGGUGAGUAACGCGUAGGUAACCUGCCUGGUAGCGGGGGAUAACUAUUGGAAACGAUAGCUAAUACCGCAUAAUAUUGAUUAUUGCAUGAUAAUUAAUUGAAAGGUGCAAUUGCACCACUACCAGAUGGACCUGCGUUGUAUUAGCUAGUAGGUGAGGUAACGGCUCACCUAGGCGACGAUACAUAGCCGACCUGAGAUGGUGAUCGGCCACACUGGGACUGAGACACGGCCCAGACUCCUACGGGAGGCAGCAGUAGGGAAUCUUCGGCAAUGGACGAAAGUCUGACCGAGCAACGCCGCGUGAGUGAAGAAGGUUUUCGGAUCGUAAAGCUCUGUUGUAAGAGAAGAACGGGUGUGAGAGUGGAAAGUUCACACUGUGACGGUAUCUUACCAGAAAGGGACGGCUAACUACGUG
rnacentral:rRNA from 1 species